CUUCUUUCUUCCAGCAAUCUACCGAACCUCCAUAGCCAAAGAUCAAGGUAAAUUUAGUGAUUCAAGUAGCUUGAUGGGAAGGAAAAAUUAUGGGAUCAAGAAGACUAUCGUGGAGAAGGUUAGAUAGCGAGGCAAAUGUUCCAAUAAAGUAGAGGUCGUGAAGUGAGAAGCUUGCCAACAUCUUAUACAAAAUCAAACCUACCGACAGUAUCAGUAAG